rnacentral:rRNA from 1 species
CCUACGGGAGGCAGCAGUGGGGAAUAUUGGGCAAUGGGCGCAAGCCUGACCCAGCAACGCCGCGUGAAGGAAGAAGGCUCUCGGGUUGUAAACUUCUUUUCUCAGGGACGAAGCAAGUGACGGUACCUGCGGAAUAAGCCACGGCUAACUACGUGCCAGCAGCCGCGGUAAGACGUAGGUGGCAAGCGUUAUCCGGAUUUACUGGGUGUAAAGGGCGUGUAGGCGGGACUGCAAGUCAGAUGGGAAAACCAUGGGCUCAACCUAUGGCCUGCAGUUGAAACUGUAGUUCUUGAGUACUGGAGAGGCAGACGGAAUUCCUAGUGUAGCGGUGAAAUGCGUAGAUAUUAGGAGGAACACCAGUGGUGAAGGCGGCCUGCUGGACAGCAACUGACGCUGAGGCGCGAAAGCGUGGGUAGCAAACAGGAUUAGAUACCCGAGUAGUC